AGAGUUUGAUCAUGGCUCAGGAUGAACGCUGGCGGUAUGCUUAACACAUGCAAGUCGAACGGUCUCUUCGGAGAUAGUGGCGGACGGGUGAGUAACGCGUGAGAAUCUGCCUCUAGGUCGGGGACAACAGUUGGAAACGACUGCUAAUCCCGGAUGAGCCAUAUGGUAAAAGAUUAAUUGCCAAGAGAGGAGCUCGCGUCCGAUUAGUUAGUUGGUGGGGUAAGAGCCUACCAAGACGGCGAUCGGUAGCUGGUCUGAGAGGAUGACCAGCCACACUGGGACUGAGACACGGCCCAGACUCCUACGGGAGGCAGCAGUGGGGAAUUUUCCGCAAUGGGCGAAAGCCUGACGGAGCAAUACCGCGUGCGGGAGGAAGGCCUUUGGGUCGUAAACCGCUUUUCUCAGGGAAGAAGUUCUGACGGUACCUGAGGAAAAAGCCUCGGCUAACUCCGUGCCAGCAGCCGCGGUAAUACGGAGGAGGCAAGCGUUAUCCGGAAUUAUUGGGCGUAAAGCGUCCGCAGUGGUCUUGUAAGUCUGCUGUC
rnacentral:rRNA from 1 species